GGCGAAUUCGUCAUAGCUAAACAUGUUAUUUACAGAAUUCUACUUUCACAGUAGUAAAAAUAAGUCAUAAAAAAAGUUCAGACUUAAAUUUAAUUGAUUUUUCACACCAUACAAUUAUUGAAAUGAUUCAAGGUCGCUUUAAUUUUAAUAGUGCAAUUUAGACGUUUAAUUAAUUUAAUUUUUGAGUAACAAUACAUUAUUUUUAACAUAACUGCCAACUGGUAUUUCAAUCAUAUUGUGUGAUCUAUAAUUCCAGAUCAUUAAAAUAUUUCAUGUUCUAUUUGUAUACAAUAAGUAGGCAGGUGCUAUUUCCUGAUACCUGAGGAAAGAAAUAGUUUAUAAAUCUUUCCAUGUUCAUGUCAUGACAACAUGUACCUACACAAUUAUUAUGUACAUACCUAACUAAAUUGCAUUUUUAAUACUAUCUAAAACCAGAAAUAAGAAUCUUUAAACAAAAGGUGGCAGCAUAUUGUGAAUUCCAAUAAGUCACGUCAAGACACCCAAAACACAAAAAAAAAAGUAUUUACAUACCUCUUUUGGAAGAGAAUGCUUCGCCAAUGCCAGCAAACCAGGGAAGCAUUAUAUCGAUCCUUGGUCUCGUCCAAGUAUUCAAAGACCCGACUAAGGGCAAGGGCUGGAACUUCGCCCCAUUGUGGGGAUCUUCGGGUCAUGUUUCGUUCGCCUCCUCUCGAAUCAACGACCGUCGACCACCCCACGGCCAGCAGCGAUGAUUACCAGUUAGCAGAGUAAGAGUUGUGUGAGAUUUUCAGUACGUACGGAAAAAAAUGAAAAUUUUUCUUGUUUAGUUUUUCUUUCUCCAAUUAUUUUCCUUCGGUUGGUGAUCUUUUGGGGUAAGUCACAAACUGUUCGUUCAAGUUGAAGGCUCUGAGGAAAAUGUUUAAAUUUUUCUUGUCAAAUUCUUUUUUUAAAUAAGGAUUGAAUUGUACACAAAAAAUUUAGAAGAACAAAAAUUAAAAUGUAAAAAAAUCAAAUUUUCGAUUUGAUUAAAAUUUCAACUACAAUUUAUU